GUCACUUAUAGAUGGAUCCGCGCUGCAUUAGCUAGUUGGUAAGGUAACGGCUUACCAAGGCAACGAUGCAUAGCCGACCUGAGAGGGUGAUCGGCCACACUGGAACUGAGACACGGUCCAGACUCCUACGGGAGGCAGCAGUAGGGAAUCUUCCGCAAUGGGCGAAAGCCUGACGGAGCAACGCCGCGUGAGUGAUGAAGGUCUUCGGAUCGUAAAACUCUGUUAUUAGGGAAGAACAUAUGUGUAAGUAACUGUGCACAUCUUGACGGUACCUAAUCAGAAAGCCACGGCUAACUACGUGCCAGCAGCCGCGGUAAUACGUAGGUGGCAAGCGUUAUCCGGAAUUAUUGGGCGUAAAGCGCGCGUAGGCGGUUUUUUAAGUCUGAUGUGAAAGCCCACGGCUCAACCGUGGAGGGUCAUUGGAAACUGGAAAAC
rnacentral:rRNA from 1 species